CAGUCGCCGCGGUAAUACCGAGGGUGCAAGCGUUAAUCGGAAUUACUGGGCGUAAAGCGCGCGUAGGUGGUUUGUUAAGUUGGAUGUGAAAGCCCCGGGCUCAACCUGGGAACUGCAUCCAAAACUGGCAAGCUAGAGUACGGUAGAGGGUGGUGGAAUUUCCUGUGUAGCGGUGAAAUGCGUAGAUAUAGGAAGGAACACCAGUGGCGAAGGCGACCACCUGGACUGAUACUGACACUGAGGUGCGAAAGCGUGGGGAGCAAACAGGAUUAGAUACCCCUGUAGUCCCUGUCUCUUAUAC
rnacentral:rRNA from 1 species